AGGAAAAGAAACCAACAGGGAUUGCCUCAGUAACGGCGAGUGAAGCGGCAACAGCCCAGAUUUGAAAUCCGGCUCUCUAGGGAGCCCGAGUUGUAGUCUGCAGAUGGGUCUUUCUGGCGGAGCGCCGUCCAAGUUCCCUGGAAUGGGACGCCGUAGAGGGUGAGAGCCCCGUACGGAUGGUCGCCGAGUCUCUUGUAAAGCCCAUUCGACGAGUCGAGUAGUUUGGAAAUGCUGCUCAAAUCGCGGGGUAAACCUCCCGUAAGGCUAAAUACCGGCCAGAGACCGAUAGCGCACAAGUAGCGUGAGCGAAAGAUGAAAAGAGCCUUGAACAAGGGCGUCAAAAAGUAUGUGAAAUUGUUGUGGGGGAAGCGCCCGAGACCAGACUCGGUGGCGGUUGGUUACCCGGCGAGACCCCUCGCCGGCGCACUCUGCCGUCCCCGGGCCAGCAUCGGUUGGACCUGGGGCCCAAUGCCGCGAGGAACGUGGCUCCCCUCGGGGAGUGUUAUAGCCACGCGGCGACGCCCCAGGACCGACCGAGGACCGCGCUCUCGAGCCUGGAUGCUCGUAAUGGUCUCUAGCGACCCGUCUUGAAACACGGACCAAGGAGUUGACCUGGCAUGCGAGUGUAUGGGUUCCAAGCCCUAGCGCGCAAUGAAAGUGAUCUGGGUGGGAUCCCCUCUCGGGGCGCACCAUCGACCGAUCCUGAAGUUUACGGAUGGAUUUGAGUAAGAGCAUGCCGGGUCUGACCCGAAAGAAGGUGAACUAUGCAUGAAUAGGGUGAAGCCAGAGGAAACUCUGGUGGAGGCUCGCAGCGGUUCUGACGUGCAAAUCGAUCGUCAAAUUUGUGCAUGGGGGCGAAAGACCAAUCGAACCUUCUAGUAGCUGGUUCCUGCCGAAGUUUCCCUCAGGAUAGCAGGGUUGGGGCCUCAGUUUCAUGAGGUAAAGCGAAUGAUUAGAGACUCGGGGGCGCUAUAUUGCCUUCAUCUAUUCUCAAACUUUAAAUAUGUGAGAAGCCUUGUGUUACUUCGGUGAACGCAGGCGACCGAAUGAACCAACUCUAGUGGGCCAUUUUUGGUAAGCAGAACUGGCGAUGUGGGAUGAACCAUACGGGGGCUUAAGGUGCCGGAGUGGGCGCUCAUGAGACACCA
rnacentral:rRNA from 1 species